rnacentral:rRNA from 1 species
UGGGAAUACCAGGUGCUGUAAGCCUUUUCACAGAAUUUUUC